rnacentral:rRNA from 1 species
UACGUAGGGUGCAAGCGUUAAUCGGAAUUACUGGGCGUAAAGCGUGCGCAGGCGGUUGUGUAAGACAGAUGUGAAAUCCCCGGGCUCAACCUGGGAACUGCAUUUGUGACUGCACGGCUCGAGUGCGGCAGAGGGGGAUGGAAUUCCGCGUGUAGCAGUGAAAUGCGUAGAUAUGCGGAGGAACACCGAUGGCGAAGGCAAUCCCCUGGGCCUGCACUGACGCUCAUGCACGAAAGCGUGGGGAGCAUACAGG